rnacentral:rRNA from 1 species
UACGAAGGGGGCUAGCGUUGCUCGGAUUGACUGGGCGUAAAGGGCGCGUAGGCGGCUUGUACAGUCAGACGUGAAAUUCCUGGGCUCAACCUGGGGGCUGCGUUUGAUACGUAUGGGCUUGAGUUCGGAAGAGGGUCGUGGAAUUCCCAGUGUAGAGGUGAAAUUCGUAGAUAUUGGGAAGAACACCGGUGGCGAAGGCGGAUCUCUGGGCCGAUACUGACGCUGAGGAGCGAAAGCGUGGGGAGCGAACAGG